CUACAAACACGGGUUAUCGCUGCUGCACAUGCAGGAGAGGAAAGUCCGGACAGUAUAGAGCAGCGCACCACUUAACGGGUGGGGGAUGGGCAACCGUCUACAGAGAGUGCCACAGAAAAUAACCGCCGCUGGAAACGGAGGUAAGGGUGAAAACGUAGGGUAAGAGCCUACGCAUAAGGCAGGCAACUGCAAUAUGGGGUAAACCUUGCGCACUGUAAUGCCAAAUAGGCGUACGAUUGAGGGCUGCUCGCCCGAUGUACGUGGGUUGGCAGCUAGAUCUUACCAGCAAUGGUAAGGCAAGAUAAAUGAUAACCGUUUCGCCGCCUGGCGGAAUUACAGAAUCCGGCUUAUAAGGGUUUGUAGUUGU
rfam:Bacteroidetes bacterium 43-93 SCNpilot_expt_1000_bf_scaffold_44, whole genome shotgun sequence.